CCGCUCCACCCUAAGUCCAACACUGAGUGCGGUUGUAUGGACAUGGCCCAAGGAGGGUGAAAGGCCCGUGGGGGUGGAGGCCAGAUAGGUUGGUUUCGCUAUAUGAGUAGACCUUGGAGUCGGGUUGUUUGUGAAUGCAGCCCAAAGUGGGUGGUAAACUCCAUCCAAGGCUAAAUACUAGCACGAGUCCGAUAGCAAACAAGUACCGUGAGGGAAAGUUGAAAAGUACUUUGAAGAGAGAGUAAACAGUGCGUGAAACCGUUCAGAGGUAAACGGGUGGAGUUGAACUGCAAGCUUUGAGGAUUCAGCUGGUGAGUGUGGUUUGAGCUUGGAUAUACUGGUCGGCCAGUCGAGUUCGCUUAAUUGCGGGUCCCUGUCUACGGCAGGGAUGCGGGGGCACUUGUCAAGUGCUGCGCGCUCGGAUUGGUUCACCGGGCCAAUUCACCAGUGCACUUUCUCAGAGUAGUCACCACGACCGGCGCUGCUGUUGGUCUACUGGUGUUAAACCCGGCGGUUGGGGUCCUUGUGGCUUUAAUCGUUGGGGAUGGCAGGUAGCUCGUUGGCUUGUCCUUCGAGUGUUAUCAGCUGGCAUCAGUGGUAUUGUGCAGUGCGUCGGGGACGGCGGCUUGUGGUGUUGACAUGCGUGCAUGUUCUGCUGGCAGUGUCGGGUUUGGUUGCCAUGUUGCCUGUUAAAGCAGGCCUGGUGACAGCUCGGUGUUGUUUGGUAGGCAGUGGCGUGUGUUACACUAUCACGAGGGCCUAUAGUCUGUGGUGCAGUGGUAGACUAUCCACCCGACCCGUCUUGAAACACGGACCAAGGAGAGUAACAUGUGCGCAAGUCAUUGGGCGUUACGAAACCCAAAGGCGUAGUGAAAGUAAAUGUUCGGCUUGUCCGAACUGAGGUGAGAUCCUGACGUUCCUCACGCGUGGUAUUACCAAGCAUACGAGCGUUAGGCGCAUCACCGGCCCGUCCCAUGGCGUAGACACGCUCCUCGGAGUGGUGCAUCGUCGGGGUGGAGCAUGAGCGUACAUGUUGAGAC
rnacentral:rRNA from 1 species